UCCAGGGUAGCCUAGUGGACAUGGCAUCUGCCCGGUAAGCGGAAGAUCGUGGGUUCGUUUCCCGCCCCUGGAC
rnacentral:tRNA from 1 species